rnacentral:rRNA from 1 species
CCUACGGGUGGCAGCAGUGGGGAAUAUUGCACAAUGGGGGGAACCCUGAUGCAGCAACGCCGCGUGGGUGAAGAAGUACUUCGGUAUGUAAAGCCCUGUCAGCAGGGAAGAAAAUGACGGUACCUGACCAAGAAGCCCCGGCUAACUACGUGCCAGCAGCCGCGGCAAUACGUCGGGGGCAAGCGUUAUCCGGAUUUACGGGGUGUAAAGGGAGCGUAGACGGCAAGGCAAGUCUGGAGUGAAAGCCCGUGGCUCAACCACGGGACUGCAUUGGAAACUGGGUUGCUUGAGUGCAGGAGGGGUAAGCGGAAUUCCUGGUGUAGCGGUGAAAUGCGUAGAUAUUAGGAGGAACACCGGUGGCGAAGGCGGCUUACUGGACUGUAACUGACGUUGAGGCUCGAAGGCGUGGGGAGCAAACAGGAUUAGAUACCCCAGUAGUC